rnacentral:rRNA from 1 species
GACGAACGCUGGCGGCGUGCUUAACACAUGCAAGUCGAGCGGUAAGGCCCUUUCGGGGGUACACGAGCGGCGAACGGGUGAGUAACACGUGGGUGACCUGCCCUCAGCUCUGGGAUAAGCCUGGGAAACCGGGUCUAAUACUGGAUAUGACUCCAUGGCGCAUGUUGUGGGGUGGAAAGCCUUGUGCGGCUGAGGAUGGGCCCGCGGCCUAUCAGCUUGUUGGUGGGGUGANGGCCUACCAAGGCGACGACGGGUAGCCGGCCUGAGAGGGCGACUGGCCACACUGGGACUGAGACACGGCCCAGACUCCUACGGGAGGCAGCAGUGGGGAAUCUUGCGCAAUGGGCGAAAGCCUGACGCAGCGACGCCGCGUGAGGGAUGACGGCCU